GUAUGAUUCCUCUUAUAUUAAAUGUCCAGAGACAUAGGCAAACCCAUAGACAGAAAGCAGAUUAGUGGCUGUCGUGGGCUGAGGGGAGUGGGAACAAGGAAUGACUGCUAAUAGGUACAAGGUUUCUUUUCAGGGUGAUGAAAAUGUUCUGGAAUUGGACAUUAGUGAUAGUCACACAACCCUGUAAUGUGCUAAAGACCACUGGAUUGUACUCUUUAAGGGGUAAAUUUUAUAGUAUGGGAAUUAUAUCCCAAUUAAAAGGAAGUGAUGCAGAAGUGAAUGUGAAGAAAUUUCAGGAACAACUUAACCAAUUUAAUUCACAUAUAUUUUCCUCAUGUGGAUUUAUGAGUGAUAUAUGAUGAAAAUACUUCUCAAUUAAAUAUAAAAUUAACAUGUUAAGUGAUAAGAAAGCAUUAUGUCAUCUUUUAAUCGACAGUAAUUUUUCUCUUUUAGCUGCACCAAAAUAAAGUUACAUCUUACACAGAUGGCUUCUUUGAGUCAAUGAAAUAUGACAUGACAGAAGUGGCAUUGCAGAUUACUGGGAAAAAGGAGGUAAUAAUCAAUAAAUGGUGCCUGGAUAAUUGGUUAAACAUAUGGGGAAAAACUGAAUCCCACCCACACCAGUUACUAAACAUAAUUCCAGAUAAAGACUCAAUUUUCAAAGGUAAAAUUUUAAUACUUAUAGGAGAAAAUAUAGAACAUGUUUAUGACAGAGGCAGAGAAAGAUUCUUUAACAAGACACAAAAGGCACUAAGCAUAAUAGAAAACAAUGAUAUAUUCGACUAUAGUAAAAGUUCUAAAGCCACUGAAUUGGACAUGUUAAAAUGGUGAAUUUCAAAUUGUAUGAAUUCUACCUCAGUAAAAAUAUUAAGAACUGUUCAUCAAAAUCCACCAUAAAUAAUGUAAAAUAAAAACAGAAAAUAUACUUUGCAAGAACUAAAAUCAAUUAAAAAAAAAUGACAACCCAAAGGAACCCUGGACAAAAGACAUGAAGAGGCAAUUCAUAGAAUAGACUAUAUAGGGAAAAAAUAAACCUAUGAAAAGGUGUUUGACCUCAUUAGGGUUCAGCGAAACUCAAAUGAAGACAACAAAAAGAUAACUAUUUCCAUCUAGCAGAUAGGGAAAAUCAAGAAGUCAGACAAUACCAAAUAUUGGCAAGCAUCCGGAUCAAUGGGGACUUCUGUAUUCUGCUGAUGACAGCAUAAAUUGAUCCAUCUUUAUUUAUUUGUUUUAAAGAUUGGCACCUGAGCUAACAAGUGUUUCCUUUUUUUUUUCUUCUCCCCAAAGCCCCCCAGUACACAGUUGUAUACUCUAGUUGUGAGUGCCUCUGGUUGUGCUAUGUGGGACGCCACCUCAGCAUGGCUUGAUGAGUGGUGCCAUGCACAUGCCCAGGACCCUAACUGGCAAAGACCCUGGGCUGCCAAAGCGGAGCGUGCAAACUUAACCACUUGGCCGCGGGCAGCCCCCAUACAACAUGUUUAGAAAACAACUUAGCACUAUCUUGUAAUGUCAGAUAUUUGCCCUGAGAACCUGUAAUUUCUCCCUUCAGUACACUUAGAAAAAUUCUUGUAGGUGUACCGCAGUAAACGUGGAUAACCAUAUUCAUGGGGAUUCUGGGGAGCAGCAGCCGUGCUGGUGUAACUGUUUAAUCUCUCCAAAUCCCGCAGAAGGAUACACACAGCAGCCAGGAUUGCAAACUAAAACCCCACAGGCAAUGACUGCGACAAACUAGAUGACACAGAUCCCACAAACCCUGAAACCCCAGUGGAUGGAGACACACCCACGAGACCUGCAGCCGCCGCCGCUGUGUCAGAGGAAGCCGGAGGGAGCAAUGGCCCUCCUCACAAACCUAGGGACCCCAGAUAACGACAGUGAGUCACGGAAAAGCCAGCGGGCCAAGCGGAGAAGCGCGCCCGUCGCCAGGAGGGAGGCGCGUACUCCGCCAGCAACUGGGGACAAGGGGCGGACCCGGCCUAGGAAACCCUCAGAACUGACCAGCCCAGGCUCCCAUCCAGGACGAACCCCAGCUGAGGAGUAACUGCUGGAAGAGAAUCCAAAUGGAGCAGGGCUGAGAUAGGAAACCACCUUCUUGCCCUUGGGAGAAUUCUUCUAAGUCCCUCCGAAAGAGCGUCCACUUCCGAGGUUCUUUCCUUGUGGAUGAGCACAGGAGGAGCCGUGAAAGCUGAACACCUUAGGAAAGAAGGAAGGAAGCAAGAAGGCAAGCAGACCUCCAGUUAAACGUGGUAGACUGCCCACAUUCAUUAUAUCACCUCCUCUGGAAACCCCUCGAAAAUAAGAGUAAAAGGAUAAUAUCAAUGCAAGCCCAUGAAGAAAGUGGGACCAGGAGAGAAGACAUCAGGGACAAGCGAGUUCAUCCCAUUUCUGAAGAUGGAAAGUGGAUGGAGGGGUAGGAAUUGCCCAGAUGGAGCUGAGGAAGCUGCAGCUGAAGUGCUGGGGAGAGGGCUGACCAAGACGCCGGCUUCUUCCCCUUCUGAAUCCCGGGAGCCGCACGCCAUUCCCAGGCAGGAGACUGGAGGUUUCCUCUUGGACUCUGGCACCUGGAGCUCCGUGGAGAAGCAGGUCCCACCCAAGCUUAGAGCGCUCAUAGGAGCUUUUUAGCACCUUGAGCCUCAGUAUAAAUGGACAGACGUGAGAAAUGCCUCUACCACGUAAGAAGGAAACCAAAGCAAACUGGGAAAAGGAACCCGGAGGAACCAGAGACAAUGUGAGGAGUGGAAUAAAACAUUUAAGUAAAACUACAACUAACGUCUUUAGAGAGAAAAGAGAAUACAUUACACCCCUAAGAAAAGGAUACUGUAGAAAAGAAACAGAGAACUAGAAAUUGAAAAUGUGAUAGCAGAAAUAUUUAAAAAUCAAUAGGAAAAAAGGAAGAUAAAGCUUAGUAAGUUUCCCAAAAAAGAAAACCAGAAGACAAAAGAUUAAGGACUUAGAGGAAAAAUCCAGGAAUCUCAUUUCUGGCUACUAGGAAUGUCAGAGAGAACAGAGACGAAAGAAACGAUCAACCUAUACGAGAAAAUCUCCCCACACUGAAAGACAGGGGUUUCCAGAUUAAAAGGGUCCACCGAAUACCCAGCCCAAAGAUUUAAAGCACCCCCUCACCAAAGCACAAAGUUGUGAGAUUCAGCACACCUGGGAUGGAGAGAGUGUCCUGAAAGCUUUUAAAGAGAGAAAACAGUUUCCAUACAAAGAAAUAAGAAUUAGAAUGGCCCUUUCAACAGCUUCCUGUAAGCCAAAGGCAAUGGGACAGUGCCUUCAAAAUUCUGAACAGAGGUGUUUUCAGCCUAGACUUUAAUACCCACCAACAGUACCUGAGAGAAAAAUAAAGACAUUUUCAAACAUUCUAAAGCAUGUAUCAUCUAUGCACCCAUUUUUAGGAAACUGCGAGAGGCUACUGGUGGUCUAGUGGUUAAGAUCUUGGGUUCUCAUCACCAUGGCACGGGUUCAUUUCCUGGUCACAGAACCACACCACUCACCAGUCAGUUGUCGUACUGUGGCAGCUGCAUGUUGCUCUGAUGCUGAAAGCCAUGCCACCCGUAUAUUAAAUAUCAGCAGGGCCACCCAUGGUGGACAGGGUUCAGCAGAGCUUCUAGACUCAGACAGACUAGGAAGAAG